GCAUCGUUAGCUCAGUUGGUAGAGCACCUGACUCUUAAUCAGGGUGUCCGGGGUUCGAGACCCCGACGGUGUACCA
rnacentral:tRNA from 2 species